UGACCACUGCUCUACUCUGUUUCAGUAUCAGGAUAAGGGUUGGUGAUCACUGCUCAACUCUGUAUAUAGAUCAGGAUCAGGGUUGGUGUCCAUUAGUCUAUUAUGUAUCAGGAUCAGGGUUGGUGACCACUGCUCUACCCUGUGUCAGGAUCAGGGUUGGUGACCACUGCCCUACUCUGUUUCAGGAUCAGGAUCAGGGUUUGUGACCACUGCUCUACUCUGUUUCAGGAUCAGGGUUGGUGACCACUGCUCUACUCUGUAUAUAGAUCAGGAUCAGGGUUGGUGCCCACUGCUCUACUCUGUAUAUAGAUCAGGAUCAGGGUCGGUGACCACUGCUCUCCUCUGUAUCAGGAUCAGGG
ensembl:lncRNA